rnacentral:rRNA from 1 species
UACGAAGGGUGCAAGCGUUACUCGGAAUUACUGGGCGUAAAGCGUGCGUAGGCGGUCUGUCGCGUCUGCUGUGAAAACUCGGGGCUUAACCCCGGGCCUGCAGUGGGUACGGGCAGACUAGAGUGCGGUAGGGGAGACUGGAAUUCCUGGUGUAGCGGUGAAAUGCGCAGAUAUCAGGAGGAACACCGGUGGCGAAGGCGGGUCUCUGGGCCGUAACUGACGCUGAGGAGCGAAAGCGUGGGGAGCGAACAGG